UCCUAGCAAACUCUUCUCUCCAGAGCCCAUAUCAGUGCUGGGUCAGUGCUCUGGGGGAGAUCUGCCUCAGUUAGGACACAGAGUGAGCCAUGGAAGCCCCAGCUCGCCUUCUCUGCCUUCUGUUACUCUGGCUCCCAGAUAUCACCGGAGAAAUCGUGAUGACACAGUCUCCAGACUCCCUCUCCUUGUCUCAGGAGAAAAAAGUCACCAUCACCUGCUGGGCCAGUCAGAGUGUUAGCAGCUACUUAGCCUGGUACCAGCAAAAACCUGGGCAGGCUCCCAAGCUCCUCAUCUAUGGUGCAUCCAACAAGGCCACUGGUGUCCCAUCCCGGUUCAGUGGCAGUGGGUCUGGGACAGACUUCAGCUUCACCAUCAGCAGCCUGGAGCCUGAAGAUGUUGCAGUUUAUUACUGUCAGCAGUAUAAUAGCGGAUAUACGUUCGGCCAAGGGACCAAGGUGGAGAUCAAACGGAAUGAUGCCCAGCCAGCCGUCUAUUUGUUCCAACCAUCUCCAGACCAGUUACACACAGGAAGUGCCUCUGUUGUGUGUUUGCUGAAUAGCUUCUACCCCAAAGACAUCAAUGUCAAGUGGAAAGUGGAUGGUGUCAUCCAAGACACAGGCAUCCAGGAAAGUGUCACAGAGCAGGACAAGGACAGUACCUACAGCCUCAGCAGCACCCUGACGAUGUCCAGUACUGAGUACCUAAGUCAUGAGUUGUACUCCUGUGAGAUCACUCACAAGAGCCUGCCCUCCACCCUCAUCAAGAGCUUCCAAAGGAGCGAGUGUCAGAGAGUGGACUAACAGGCCCCACCACCUGCCCCUCAGGCCUAGCCUUCCUGUCUCCUAGCUCAGGCCUUGGGCCCUUUCCCCAUCAGAGACCCACCUCUGUUGCAGGCACCACCCUUCUCCCCACCUCCCCCUCUUGGGCUUUAACAAUGCUAAUGGUAUCUGGGGGAAAAGGAAUAAAUAAAGUGAAUUGUUGCACCUGUGC